UACGUAGGUGGCAAGCGUUGUCCGGAAUUAUUGGGCGUAAAGCGCGCGCAGGUGGUUUCUUAAGUCUGAUGUGAAAGCCCACGGCUCAACCGUGGAGGGUCAUUGGAAACUGGGGAACUUGAGUGCAGGAGAGAAGAGUGGAAUUCCACGUGUAGCGGUGAAAUGCGUAGAGAAUGUGGAGGAACACCAGUGGCGAAGGCGACUCUUUGGCCUGUAACUG
rnacentral:rRNA from 1 species